rnacentral:rRNA from 1 species
CGCCCUCAGAUCAGGUAGGGAUACCCGCUGACUUAA